UGGGGAAUAUUGCACAAUGGGCGCAAGCCUGAUGCAGCCAUGCCGCGUGUGUGAAGAAGGCCUUCGGGUUGUAAAGCACUUUCAGCGAGGAGGAAGGGUUCAGUGUUAAUAGCACUGUUCAUUGACGUUACUCGCAGAAGAAGCACCGGCUAACUCCGUGCCAGCAGCCGCGGUAAUACGGAGGGUGCAAGCGUUAAUCGGAAUUACUGGGCGUAAAGCGCACGCAGGCGGUUUGUUAAGUCAGAUGUGAAAUCCCCGCGCUUAACGUGGGAACUGCAUUUGAAACUGGCAAGCUAGAGUCUUGUAGAGGGGGGUAGAAUUCCAGGUGUAGCGGUGAAAUGCGUAGAGAUCUGGAGGAAUACCGGUGGCGAAGGCGGCCCCCUGGACAAAAGA
rnacentral:rRNA from 1 species